CCUAUACUCACCAAAAUGCCAAGGUCAUGACAGGCAAGCAAAGAUUGAAGAAAGCUUCCAGAUUAAAGAAGACUGAGGAAACUCAACAGCCAAAUGCUCUCAGCCUCCUGUGUGCAAGCAGAGUUGCUAUGGUGCCAUCGCUUGUACUUGCAUCUGACACUUCUGCGUUAGAGACCACCAGUCAAAAUCCUCAGUGGGCUUACGAGCAGAAUCCAGACCCAUCUCAGCCCCCAUCCGCUCCCACCUACCAUCUGGAUCUCCCUGCAGUGAUGGGAGCAGCAGGAGAAAGCAGAAAGAAACAUCUCCCCGCCCCCACCCCCUCCACCAUUAACUGCUGCAACCACCAGAAGCAGGAUCUAGAAAAAGAAGCCCCGAAGUCAUGAUUUUCCUCCAUUUUCCGCACCUUGCUGACCUGACAAGAACUUUAAGAGAUCCUGAAAGAACUUUUCAGUAUGAAUUUCAUGAGCUCAAGCGGAUGACUAAUUCCCAUCACAUCACUGCAAGCACUCCUCCUGCGUUUCCUUCAAUUGUUCACAAAAUAUUGCUGAGUCUUUCUGUUCCACUAAGUGUGUU
rnacentral:lncRNA from 1 species